UUUGUUCUUCCGCCAGCGCCCAUCGUGAAGACCACAGUUUCCUGUCGCGUGGAUGUGUUUCCUCUCUGGCCAUUGCCAUCCGCCCAAAUCUACAGACAUCCCGCAUGUUCCCGGGCUCGUCUCCCCAAUACAGGGCACCAAGGCUGUAGACUGCGCAGCCCUCCUGGAGACAGAUGGAAGCUCCUUGGGUCGACAGAUUACAGCUUCUGGAACCCCCUACUCCCUUCAACUCCGAGAUGGACACCCACUGUCCAGGGAGAGGAUGCCUGGAAAUAACAGCUGGGAUCUACAGUGGCCAAAGAGUUGUCUCCGUCUUGCUACAUCGACAAACUGGUGCUCCUGAGUGAGGAUUGUGCCCUGGGAUGGGGGAUUCAGUUUCUUCAUUUAUAGUUGGAAGUGGGUGAAGUGCCAGGAGCGACGGUACACUCCAGAGUGCUGUGCCCUGAUGGGCCUUUGAGUGGCCAGUGCAGUGGAUCAUCAGCCCUGUCUCCCAAGAGCUCCAGUCCCUUCUCCGGAGAGGAAGUGGGUCCACUGGCAGCUCAGGAGGCCAUAGCAGGUAAGUCAUACACUUGCUACUGUUCAGAGGCCUCAUCAAGAGAUUGGAGUUUGAGAGAAUGUAAGGAUGGCUCUGUCCAGUCUGGAGCCCCAGCCUUUGAGUCCCUAGAGUUUCCUGUAGUAUUUUCUGCCUCUUUGGGGGCGGGGAAGAUGAGUGGGGAGUGGUGUGUGGAUCCUCCCACCUAGGUCGUGCAUGGGUAAGUGUGAGGCCUUUCCAGUGUUAGUGAAUUGUAAGGGCAAGGGAGUGGACGUAGGCAUUGAAGACACUUGUAUAUGCCACGGUCUCCCUCUUUUUGUCAUUGUGUUGGGUAGCAGUGACUUGUUAGCAGUGGAGGGAAAAGUCAUAGUUGAACGAUGGAGAGUUAGGGUGGUCCGGAGCACCUAUCUGCUCUGGCUCUUUGAGGCCCCUCCCUUCCCGUUCAUUCUUCUGCCAGUGGCAGAAGUGCACCCACGUGUGUGCCUUGCUUCUGCCCUGGAAAGCUGGGCCUCAGCCUAGACAUCAGGUGACUAGCUGUUACCUAGCUAGUCCCCAGAUUCCACCUUAAUUAAGCAGCCUUACCUGUUUUGAUCUUCCAUUUCCUGACUUGGAAAACUAAAGCUAAGACAAAGGUUUUUCAGGACUGACUCCCCCUUCUUCUUGGCAGAUUGUGGGGCUCUGUGCAGUUGAUGUUAGUUAACCACUGGAUCCACGUGUUCACCGUGGCUUGCGCCCCUGCAUCCGAAAGUGAUCUUGGCUGCCGUGUCCUGGUCAUUGGUAGUGCAGGGAAAGGAUGCGGAAAGACGGGCUCCGAGCUCGGGGCGUCUGGCCUGGAGCUUUCCUACACUUGUGUCUUGCUCUGCAGCCUUACGGAAGUGUGGGUGGCGCUUUCUGGAAGCUGCACAAGUCAGUGCUGGGUCUUCGCAACUUGGUGUUCUGUUUCCAGAAACUUGGGGUGUUUGCAUGUGCUAGGUCAGCACAGAUUUCCAAAGGAUCUCUAGGUGGGUUCCCUAACUUUUCACAGAGGAGCAGAAGGUAGAUGACAGGAGGAGAGGUGGGGCUGGACUGAGGGGAGCUGUGUGUGCCAGGGUGGGGUGGGGCGGGGCGUGUAACAGCCCUUAAGCGUGUGUUGAGAGAAGGAGCUCCCUGGUACAGAGUGUGCAGCUCCCUUCCCAGCCUGUGGUCCCCGUGGCCCAAUGAGUUUUUGUAUCACUUGUGAGCCACUGGUCUUAAAAUGCAUGGUUUGCAGACCAAAAUGCAGUCCAACAUUAUUUGUUUCAUGUGUCUAUGUGAAUGCACAUAUGUAUGUAUGUCAUUUGUGCCUGGUGCCUGUGAAGAGUUUAUUGGGGGCUAGGAAUUUCAGAGGGUGACUCUUCAGGAUCUAUAUGGCUUCAGGCACGGCCAUGUUGGACAGUAGCUGGGAGCUCACAUACGUGAUAGGACCACCAGGCAGGGAGCUAACUGAAUGGCAUGGGCUUUUGGAGCCUCAAAGCUCUCCUGCCCCACCCCCAUGAUACCUCCACUAACAAGGCCAUACUUCCUAAUGGUCCCAAGCAGUUCUACCAACUAGGGACCAAAUAUUCAAGUAUAUGAGCCUAUAGGUGGAGGAACUUCCACACAGAUCCAAACUUUUAACAAAACAAAAAGCAGGAAAGCCAACUUUAUCAGAAGUUACAAUGUAAUCAGUGUCAGAAGGAAGAGAAUGGAAGUGGGAGACUGAGGUGGGGGGUAUGCUGAGGAUAUGGGAAGUGGGAGAUUGCGUGGGGGGGGGCUGAGGGUGUGGCUUUCAGUUGAGUGUCCAGCAUGGGAGGAGAAAGGGGGCUCUGGGAAGAAGCUGCUGCAGCCACCUUGUGUUCCCCCCACCCCCAGCUAAUAGCUGUGUCUUGGUUCCUGGUGAGAUCUUGGUUGACUCGGGGGUCCUGAGUGUGGCUUGUCUCUGCAGGAUUGUCACGUGUGCUCAACAGUCCUCCUCGGCUUUCCAGAAGAGGCUGGAACAGGGCCCUUGAAGAUGUUUGUGGACAUCAGAGGGCCAAAGACGACACAAAGUGAAACUGGAGACACCGCCCCCCCUUGGCAUCAUGAAACUGCCGAUGUUACUGGCUCAUGCAUGGGAGACACCAGCAUACAAAGUCUUGACACCAACACCUCAGAGGGCUGUGUUCUGUCCCCGUGACCAUCAUCUAGUGCCUGGAAAGACUAGUGACAAGAACUUGUUGCCAACUUCCUAUUACCUCCCUAACAGUUGUGCAAUAAACCCCAUAGGUUAAUUCAGUCUGCCUUUUAAA
rnacentral:lncRNA from 1 species